rnacentral:rRNA from 1 species
UUAAGCGACUAAGCGUACACGGUGGAUGCCCUGGCAGUCAGAGGCGAUGAAGGACGUGCUAAUCUGCGAAAAGCGUCGGUAAGGUGAUAUGAACCGUUAUAGCCGGCGAUGUCCGAAUGGGGAAACCCAGUGCAAUUCGUUGCACUAUCGUUAACUGAAUACAUAGGUUAACGAGGCGAACCGGGGGAACUGAAACAUCUAAGUACCCCGAGGAAAAGAAAUCAACCGAGAUUCCCCAGUAGCGGCGAGCGAACGGGAGCAGCCCAGAGUCUGAAUCAGCUUGUGUGUUAGUGGAACGGUCUGGAAAGUCCGACGGUACAGGGUGAUAGUCCCGUACACCAAAAUGCACAGGCUGUGAACUCGAAGAGUAGGGCGGGACACGUGGUAUCCUGUCUGAAUAUGGGGGGACCAUCCUCCAAGGCUAAAUACUCCUGACUGACCGAUAGUGAACCAGUACCGUGAGGGAAAGGCGAAAAGAACCCCGGCGAGGGGAGUGAAAAAGAACCUGAAACCGUGUACGUACAAGCAGUGGGAGCACCUUCGGGUGUGACUGCGUACCUUUUGUAUAAUGGGUCAGCGACUUAUAUUCUGUAGCAAGGUUAACCGUAUAGGGGAGCCGCAGGGAAACCGAGUCUUAACUGGGCGUUAAGUUGCAGGGUAUAGACCCGAAACCCGGUGAUCUAGCCAUGGGCAGGUUGAAGGUUGGGUAACACUAACUGGAGGACCGAACCGACUAAUGUUGAAAAAUUAGCGGAUGACUUGUGGCUGGGGGUGAAAGGCCAAUCAAACCGGGAGAUAGCUGGUUCUCCCCGAAAGCUAUUUAGGUAGCGCCUCGUGAACUCAUCUUCGGGGGUAGAGCACUGUUUCGGCUAGGGGGUCAUCCCGACUUACCAACCCGAUGCAAACUACGAAUACCGAAGAAUGUUAUCACGGGAGACACACGGCGGGUGCUAACGUCCGUCGUGAAGAGGGAAACAACCCAGACCGCCAGCUAAGGUCCCAAAGUCAUGGUUAAGUGGGAAACGAUGUGGGAAGGCACAGACAGCCAGGAUGUUGGCUUAGAAGCAGCCAUCAUUUAAAGAAAGCGUAAUAGCUCACUGGUCGAGUCGGCCUGCGCGGAAGAUGUAACGGGCUAAACCAUGCACCGAAGCUGCGGCAGCGACACUAUGUGUUGUUGGGUAGGGGAGCGUUCUGUAAGCCUGCGAAGGUGUGCUGUGAGGCAUGCUGGAGGUAUCAGAAGUGCGAAUGCUGACAUAAGUAACGAUAAAGCGGGUGAAAAGCCCGCUCGCCGGAAGACCAAGGGUUCCUGUCCAACGUUAAUCGGGGCAGGGUGAGUCGACCCCUAAGGCGAGGCCGAAAGGCGUAGUCGAUGGGAAACAGGUUAAUAUUCCUGUACUUGGUGUUACUGCGAAGGGGGGACGGAGAAGGCUAUGUUAGCCGGGCGACGGUUGUCCCGGUUUAAGCAUGUAGGCUGAUUGUCCAGGCAAAUCCGGAUAAUCAAGGCUGAGGUGUGAUGACGAGGCACUACGGUGCUGAAGUAACAAAUGCCCUGCUUCCAGGAAAAGCCUCUAAGCAUCAGGUAACAUCAAAUCGUACCCCAAACCGACACAGGUGGUCAGGUAGAGAAUACCAAGGCGCUUGAGAGAACUCGGGUGAAGGAACUAGGCAAAAUGGUGCCGUAACUUCGGGAGAAGGCACGCUGGUGUGUAGGUGAAGUCCCUGCGGAUGGAGCUGAGACCAGUCGAAGAUACCAGCUGGCUGCAACUGUUUAUUAAAAACACAGCACUGUGCAAACACGAAAGUGGACGUAUACGGUGUGACGCCUGCCCGGUGCCGGAAGGUUAAUUGAUGGGGUUAUCCGUAAGGAGAAGCUCUUGAUCGAAGCCCCGGUAAACGGCGGCCGUAACUAUAACGGUCCUAAGGUAGCGAAAUUCCUUGUCGGGUAAGUUCCGACCUGCACGAAUGGCGUAAUGAUGGCCAGGCUGUCUCCACCCGAGACUCAGUGAAAUUGAACUCGCUGUGAAGAUGCAGUGUACCCGCGGCAAGACGGAAAGACCCCGUGAACCUUUACUAUAGCUUGACACUGAACAUUGAGCCUUGAUGUGUAGGAUAGGUGGGAGGCUUUGAAGCGUGGACGCCAGUCUGCGUGGAGCCAACCUUGAAAUACCACCCUUUAAUGUUUGAUGUUCUAACGUUGGCCCCUUACCGGGGUUGCGGACAGUGUCUGGUGGGUAGUUUGACUGGGGCGGUCUCCUCCCAAAGCGUAACGGAGGAGCACGAAGGUUAGCUAAUCCUGGUCGGACAUCAGGAGGUUAGUGCAAUGGCAUAAGCUAGCUUGACUGCGAGCGUGACGGCGCGAGCAGGUGCGAAAGCAGGUCAUAGUGAUCCGGUGGUUCUGAAUGGAAGGGCCAUCGCUCAACGGAUAAAAGGUACUCCGGGGAUAACAGGCUGAUACCGCCCAAGAGUUCAUAUCGACGGCGGUGUUUGGCACCUCGAUGUCGGCUCAUCACAUCCUGGGGCUGAAGUAGGUCCCAAGGGUAUGGCUGUUCGCCAUUUAAAGUGGUACGCGAGCUGGGUUUAGAACGUCGUGAGACAGUUCGGUCCCUAUCUGCCGUGGGCGCUGGAGAAUUGAGGGGGGCUGCUCCUAGUACGAGAGGACCGGAGUGGACGCAUCACUGGUGUUCGGGUUGUCAUGCCAAUGGCACUGCCCGGUAGCUAAAUGCGGAAGAGAUAAGUGCUGAAAGCAUCUAAGCACGAAACUUGCCCCGAGAUGAGUUCUCCCUGAGACUUUAAGUCUCCUGAAGGAACGUUAAAGACGAUGACGUUGAUAGGCCGGGUGUGUAAGCGCAGCGAUGCGUUGAGCUAACCGGUACUAAUGAACCGUGAGGCUUAACCUU